rnacentral:lncRNA from 1 species
UUACCUCAAAAAUGCAUCUCAAACCAAUAUAAUUUUCAUAUUUUAUUUUCGAUAGGAAAAUUAGUAAAAAGUAGUCCACGCAAUGAGGGUGACUGUUCAUAUCAUGCAAAAAAAAAAAAAUACUGAAAUUGAGCAAAAAGAAAAAAAGAGACCGUAUGAAAAAUCAAAUAAAAAAAAGGAAAAAAAGUAUUAAACCUGCUUACAUUGUAAACCCAGCAGAGAGCCAAAAGAAGAAAAUGAGGCAGACAUAUCCAAUUAGGUGAUUCUUCUGAGCAAGCAAAUAAAAAAAAUAACGAAAUUGAAGAAGCCAAAGAAAAAGAAUGAGAAAAGGGAAAACUGUUGAACCUACUACUUACAUUCUAUACCCACCAGAAGAGAGUCAAAGAAGAAAAUGAGACCAUCGAAUCAAAUCAACUGAUUCUUCUGAGCAUGAGCAAGCAAACAUACCAUGAGAUAGUAAUCGUUUCUUCAAUUAUAUUUUAAAAAAAAUUGGUGGUUCUGAAAUUAAUGAAAAAUUGGGGCAAGAAUCCUGCAAUUAAUAGCAGAAUAUUUGAAAUUUGAAUUUAACUAUUUGAUUUUGAUUGUAGUAAAUGUUCCCCUAAUUUUGCAAUUAAAGUGAAGUACCUAAUGAUUUUGAAUCAUAAUCAUGGAUCAAUGAUAUUAUG